CUUAGGCAAUGUGGCAAUUGCUGAAAACGCUGCUCUCGUGAUCCAAUUAAUCUACCCCUAAGGGACCCACAGCAACUAUAGCAGUUAGUGAGGCCCAAAUGGAAAACGCUACAAACAAGGAAAAAGCGAGAGACAGCACACAUUUUCAGGACUGUAUAUGAGCUGUGCUGUAAGCUUUUCUCCACCUGCAAUUUCAACCAAGAGGGCUUGAUGCUGAGUCUGCAAUUGCACCAAGUGCUCCCUUUACAUAUUGUGUGGGAUCUGAUAAAUUUUUGCAGGAUUUUUUCCAGCUGUGCUCUCAUCACAUUGAUUUAAUGGCCCUUAAGAGAAACCAUAAAAGUGCUUUCUGGUUAGUGGGCCCCAGCUGUUCCUCAUAGUAUUGCAUAAUACAGCAGGCUGAGUUAACUAUAGAUUAAUGAUUAUGAAAUGUCUUGCUUAACCAUAUAAUUUUUCAAACAUACAAGGGAUUGGACAAAAUGUGGUUCACUGAGGUAACAAGAUGACUACUUUCAGGAGUAGAAAAGGCUUAAGAGGACUGAAGGGUGAUGGCUCACUGCUGGAAGCAUUUCUCUGUUUUCAUUACCAAGCAACGGUGCAAGAAGCCAACAGUAUCAUUUGAGGAUUAUCAUGCUCUCUUCUGAAGCCGAGAGUAUUGCAAGUCUGUAUAAAACUGAGUACUCCUACGUCAUCUGAACUCCUGCUGCUGCUCUACAAACUCGACAGCAGUUGAGCAACAAGAAGUACAGCUAGAGCUCAUCUGUGUAACUUGCCAAGCAUCCUACAAAAUGAAAUAGCUGUGACAAACCAAGGAAUCUGAGAACAUUCUUAUUCAGAGGCAGAAAUCAAACUAAAAUUGAACUUGAAGAGAGAUAAAGCAUCUGAAAAGCAAUUAAGUCAAGAACCAUGGCACCUGUUCAUCUCACCUCCCUCGUGGGAAUUAACAUGCCGUAUGGGAAAGAGAUUUGCGUCUGUUAAAGGCAAAAAGCAAUGAGGUUCUUCAGGGAGCAGGAAACUUGAUGAAUUUACAAGAUUUUUGAGGAGAACUGCUUUUACCCUGGGGAUGGUAGGCUGAGUAUACAGAAUGCUGUUCUCCACACUUCCAUAAGCAAAGGAUCCCUAGCACAAGAAAGACAUGGAGCUGUUGGAGCAAAUCCUGAGGCGGGCCACAAAGACAAUCAGAAGGCUGGAGCACCGCCCCUGUGAAGAGAGGCUGAGGGAGCUAAGCUUGUACCCCUUUGUAUUUCUUGCAGUUUCCAUUGCUUGUGGUAUUACUUUUGCCGCAAACCUCAUAGAAUGCAAUUUCCAAAUUUGAUGAGUAUGAUUAUUUCCUGUAUCAGAUCAUAGAUGCAGGAAUCAGGGCCAAAAUCUCUCUCCUUCAGCUUACCUGUUGUUAGGGCUGGCAAUUAUGUGUUUGCUAAAAAUUUUGUGGUGGAAGGUAAAGAAAAGUGCCAUGCUCCUCUCAGUGACACUAUGCAUGAUGUCAACAUGAUGGAAGUAUGUGACUUGCUUAUUCAUAUUGUACCUUGGCUUUCUGCUAAUUAGACACUUUUCUAAAUUCAUGGUCAUUGACCUCUCACAACCAUACUGAAAUUUCAGUGAAAUAGCCAGCAGCUAUUUAUUUUUCAAUCACACAAAUCUCUAAACAUACAAAAGAUGAGGAUCAGAAACAACUUGGAACAGAAGCUGAAGUAAAAUAGCAAGAAACCCAGACUUAAAUAUCUGAAGAAAUGGAUCUGUGCUUUUGUAACUAGAAGGAAAUGUUCUAGUUCAGAAUUUUCCCUGAACCGCUAACGCUUAGAAUAACAUUCUUAUGCUUUUUUUUUUUUGUCUUUACUAUAUGAUACACUUGUGAGAAGUCUAUGCUGUCUUUGCCAUGCUUUUUCUUUCUCUGAAUAGAGAAAGGGCUAUAGCAUAUAGAAAAGGUGUAUGCUGCAGCUACCAAGACUUGUUUUAUUUGUUUAAAUCAUCUCUACUUGUUUGUUUCCUUGAAGCUUUUCACUGGGAGAAAGUUGCGCAGUUGACAUGUUCCUACAUAUGCCAAUUAGAAUCUUCAAGCCCACACUUCUUUCUUUUCCUCUCUUCUUUUUUUUUUUUUUUUUUUUUUUUUUUUAUUUGAACAGAUUUUUCUGCCUGGAAGCUUCCUCAUGGGCCUGGGAGGCAGAUUACACUUUUCUCCAUGGGAUGCAUCCAGCUGGCUGCAGGAGAUCUGGAUCUUAUCGUUAUUUCUGCUACUAACCUACUUUGGGCAAGCUGCUUCCUUUCUCUGUGCCUUUAUGCCCUUGGUCACCAACUGAGAUUAGAAACGGUUCAAGGAAAAGCAUGUCUGUAAAAAUUACAAUGAGUUUGUGCAAUACUUUUAGCACAGUGGGGUUCCUCAGUCAGUGAUGGCCUUAAACUAUUGCUAAAGGACAAACAUGAGUAAGAUCCCUACAGCUGCUUUUGAUCCACAUCUCUCAGUGCCUCUUCCAUCUCAUUCCUUAUCAUCCUUUAAUCCCUUUAUCUUCUCAUUUUUGUUGUUUCCUUUUGUCCAUACCAGCUUAUGGAGGUUUUAAUAUGCUUUCCUUCCCAACAGCUCUGAAUCCCUGAGCCGACGUUGACAUAUUCUCACACUGAAAAGCUUCCCUUAAAAACUGCAGUGUCACUGGAAUGGGAGCCCAGAUAAGUACCUGCCUAUACCAAAGAGAGUGAAGCCAGGUCACAGCCAGAAAGUACAUGAGGCCACAAAGAAGCAAAGAUUUUAGCUACAUGUUCAGUCGGGAGCAGCAGUGAGACAAUCUGAAAGCGAGCACGACGAGACGAGAAGAAAAAGAAGACAACCCAGGUCAGGCUUCUCUGCAGUUAGAUCUCCAUGAAUUAUCUUAAGAAGAAACGUGGGCUGCUGAACUCAGCCUGUGGAUUGUCAAACAGCUG
ensembl:lncRNA